AGUGAACGCUGGCGGUAGGCCUAACACAUGCAAGUCGAACGGCAGCACAGUAAGAGCUUGCUCUUACGGGUGGCGAGUGGCGGACGGGUGAGGAAUACAUCGGAAUCUACUUUUUCGUGGGGGAUAACGUAGGGAAACUUACGCUAAUACCGCAUACGACCUACGGGUGAAAGCAGGGGAUCUUCGGACCUUGCGCGAUUGAAUGAGCCGAUGUCGGAUUAGCUAGUUGGCGGGGUAAAGGCCCACCAAGGCGACGAUCCGUAGCUGGUCUGAGAGGAUGAUCAGCCACACUGGAACUGAGACACGGUCCAGACUCCUACGGGAGGCAGCAGUGGGGAAUAUUGGACAAUGGGCGCAAGCCUGAUCCAGCCAUACCGCGUGGGAGAAGAAGGCCUUCGGGUUGUAAAGCCCUUUUGUUGGGAAAGAAAAGCAGCAGGUUAAUACCCCGCUGUUCUGACGGUACCCAAAGAAUAAGCACCGGCGAACUUC
rnacentral:rRNA from 1 species